GCUUCUUCAUCAAAUGUUUGACCGUGCACAACUGUAAAAUAAGUAUGUAAUUAUUAUGUUUUCAUUUGCAUUUGUAAAAGACUUUUUAGACUACUGAUACCGAGAAUGGCUGAUUUGGGUUUGAAUUUCGAUUUUGUUAGUCAAAAAAGUUGGGAAAACGACCGGAAAAUGAAGGAAGGAGACUUCCUUGUAGAGUUUUGUGGGUGUUCUGUCGCACGCCAUGAAAACGGUAUCCAGCAGUGUCUCCGGCCCAAGUCUUGCACAAGUACACACACACACAUGCAAGCUCAUUCUAUUUUUAGAUCUGUGAGCUUUCUCGACUUCGUGCGAACGAGAGGGCGCGGAUUUCGACGAAUCCGAAAACCUCGCUGGAUAUGAACUAUAUGAACAAUAUAUUGCCUCUGCUCCAGUUUAAACAGGCCAAGAAUAGUUAAAUUUGUAUUCUAACUUGCACACACAUACAAAAAUAAAAAGAAGAUAUAUUGUAAA